rnacentral:lncRNA from 1 species
GAACAUAUAUAAGUGAAUAAAUAAGAAGGAAGAUUUUGGGCCCUUGUGGGUGUAAAACAAAAAAUGUUUAGGUUUUGUGAACAAAAUUUGUUUAUUUGGAGCAAGGUUUUGUGUUGAAGCUUUGUAGGUGAAGCUUUGGUGUUGAAGCUUUCUAGGUGAAGCUUUGAUGGUGAAGCUUUGUAGAUGAAGCUUUGUAGAUGAAGCUUUCUAGGUGAAGCUUUGAUGGUGAAGCUUUGAUGGUGAAAGUAUGUAGAUGAAGCUUUCUAGGUGAAGCUUUUUGAGGUGAAGCUUUGUAGGUGAAGCUUUUUUAAGUGAAGCUUUGGGCCCUUGUGAAGCUUUGGAGGUGAAGCUUUUCGGGUGAAGCUUUUUUGGGUGAAGCUUUGUGGGUGAAGCUUUUUAGGGGAAGCUUUGUGGGUGAAGCUUUGGAGGUGAAGCUUUUCGGGUGAAGCUUUUUUUGGGUGAAGCUUUGUGGGUGAAGCUUUUUAGGGGAAGCUUGGUGGGUGAAGCUUUGGAGGUGAAGCUUUUCGGGUGAAGCUUUUUAGGGGAAGCUUUUGUGGGUGAAGCUUUGGAGGUGAAGCUUUUCGGGUGAAGCUUUUUUGGGUGAAGCUUUGUGGGUGAAGCUUUUUAGAGGAAGCUUGGUGGGUGAAGCUUUGGAGGUGAAGCUUUUCGAGUGAAGCUUUUUAGGGGAAGCUUUGUGGGUGAAGCUUUGGAGGUGAAGCUUUUCGGGUGAAGCUUUUUUGGGUGAAGCUUUGUGGGUGAAGCUUUUUAGGUGAAGCUUUGUGGGUGAAGCUUUGGAGGUGAAGCUUUUCGGGUGAAGCUUUUUUGGAUUUUUUUUUUUUUUUUUUUUUUUUUUUUUUUUUUUUUUUUUUUUUU